AUGCGGCGGGGCCGGGGCGCGGGGCUGGCCGGGCUGGCCGCGCUGCUGCUGGUGGCUGCGGGCAGAGCCCAGGUGCAGCAGGAGCCGCGGGCAGAGACCAGCGAGGAGAUCGGCAUCACCAUCAAUUGCUCUCACCCCAGCAUCAACUCCUAUGACUAUAUCCACUGGUACCGUCAGUUCCCGGGCCGAGGUCCCGAGUGGCUCGUGAGCGCUCUCCGAGGGUCCCAGGAGCUGCGGUCGCCGUCGGGGCGGCUGUCGGUGUCGGCAGACCGGCGGUCCAGCGGGCUGCGGCUCUCCCGGCCCCGGCGCGGGGACGCGGCCGUGUACUGGUGCGCCGUGGGAGACACGGGGAGAGGAGCCGGGGCUGCGGCCGGGCACGAACCGCCGCGGGCGGCACGGCGGGGCCGACAGGGGGCGCUGCCGCCCGCCGCUCCGGCAGCACCGGGACAGCGACACCGACACAGAGACACAGGCGUAGAGAUACGGACACACGGACACGGACACACAGACACAGGACACAGGCGUAGAGAUACGGACACAGGGACACGGACACACAGACACAGGACACAGGCGUAG